rnacentral:rRNA from 1 species
GUAGGGUGCGAGCGUUAAUCGGAAUUACUGGGCGUAAAGGGUGCGCAGGCGGUUUUGUAAGCCAGAUGUGAAAGCCCCGGGCUUAACCUGGGAAUGGCAUUUGGGACUGCAAGGCUAGAGUGUGGCAGAGGAGACUGGAAUUCCUGGUGUAGCAGUGAAAUGCGUAGAUAUCAGGAGGAAUACCGAUGGCGAAGGCAGGUCUCUGGGCUGACACUGACGCUCAUGCACGAAAGCGUGGGGAGCAAACAGGAUUAGAUACCCUGGUAGUCCACGCCCUAAACGAUGUCGACUGGUUGUUGGGGGUUUGACACUCUCAGUAACGAAGCUAACGCGUGAAGUCGACCGCCUGGGGAGUACGGCCGCAAGGUUA